GUGCCCUUGAAUAUCCUUCCUAUUUAGAUUUGUCUGUUUGUUUGAAGAAUCAGGAAUGCAUGUCUGGGCGUGACAAGAGGCUAAAGAAAGCAGCCGGAUACGUGUGAAGAGGGGAAUCGAUUUUCCACAGUGAGAUGCCAGAAACACUGAUAAAUCAGGCAGAAGCCACAGCAGAGGAAGGGAGUUCAACGGGUCUGACUUUCUGAGUGCUAUUUACCAAGAUCUGAGCAAGCCUCAGUUUGCCUGCUCUCCACCUCCUUCCUUCUCUGACAGAGUGUCCAUGAAAGGCUGCUUUAGAAGAUGCUCCCUAAGGACAGACAAGCCUGCAUCCAGAAAAAGCCAUGAAAGGACCCGCCAGAGACUGAGAAUCAAGAGGCCUGCUGACAGCCUAAGAACCUCCCACACUUCCUCAUAUUUUCCUGACACUCCAUCUUAUUUCCAAACAAGAAAGAGCAUAUCAUUCCAAGCAGUCAGCUUUGGAAUGAAUUUGUUUUUCUCAUCACUUCUGCUGUAUUAUUUCACUCCCUCCAGGCACAAGUCGCCAUUACAGAUGAACCAUUUUUCUCUGAGUAAAGGAAAUUGAAUUGGGCUGCAUCAAUAAAUGGAGCUCCAAUUUUUUUCCAUAUUUCCCAACAGCUCUGCAGAUGGUAUUAAGAAACAGGCAUCUGUGUCUCCCUGUUGAAAAAAACAGGCUCUUCUGGAACUAUGGGCUCCUUGUGUUGCUGCUAGGUAACCAAGAAACUAGAGGCAGCAGGACCCAAUCCUUCACCCAGCACACCAGCCAAGGGCCUCUCUCUCUCACAUUCUACUUGUAUGCUCAAAAGAGAAACACAAAUGGCAAGAAAUGCAAGAAAAAUGUCCAACCACUCUAAGUUUUGCCUUUCAAAUUAUCAAAGAUUUUAAAAAACGGUUAUACUCAGUUCUGUAGCUACAUAAGAGACAUUCAUAUAUAUAUAUAAUUUAGGUAGGAGAUGGAGAGGGUGAAAGGUAUUUUUGUCUAUUUAUGUGAUCGAAUAAUGUAUGUCCGUUAAAAUUAAAAUAGUGGAGGAAUAUUUAAUGCAUAGACAAAUGUUCAUGUUAUAUUAAUAAGUGAAAAAGCAGAUCACAAAAUAGUAUCUCUAGGGCUUCCCUGGUGGCGCAGUGGUUGCGCGUCCGCCUGCCGAUGCAGGGGAACCGGGUUCGUACCCCGGUCUGGGAGGAUCCCACGUGCCGCGGAGCGGCUGGGCCUGUGAGCCAUGGCCGCUGGGCCUGCGCGUCCGGAGCCUGUGCUCCGCAACAGGAGAGGCCACAGCAGAGGGAGGCCCGCAUACCACAAAAAAAAAAAAA